AGAGUUUGAUCAUGGCUCAGGAUGAACGCUAGCUACAGGCUUAACACAUGCAAGUCGAGGGGCAGCAUGGUCUUAGCUUGCUAAGACUGAUGGCGACCGGCGCACGGGUGAGUAACACGUAUCCAACCUGCCGUCUACUCUUGGACAGCCUUCUGAAAGGAAGAUUAAUACAAGAUGGCAUCAUGAGUCCGCAUGUUCACAUGAUUAAAGGUAUUCCGGUAGACGAUGGGGAUGCGUUCCAUUAGAUAGUAGGCGGGGUAACGGCCCACCUAGUCUUCGAUGGAUAGGGGUUCUGAGAGGAAGGUCCCCCACAUUGGAACUGAGACACGGUCCAAACUCCUACGGGAGGCAGCAGUGAGGAAUAUUGGUCAAUGGGCGAGAGCCUGAACCAGCCAAGUAGCGUGAAGGAUGACUGCCCUAUGGGUUGUAAACUUCUUUUAUAAAGGAAUAAAGUCGGGUACGCAUACCCGUUUGCAUGUACUUUAUGAAUAAGGAUCGGCUAACUCCGUGCCAGCAGCCGCGGUAAUACGGAGGAUCCGAGCGUUAUCCGGAUUUAUUGGGUUUAAAGGGAGCGUAGAUAGAUGUUUAAGUCAGUUGUGAAAGUUUGCGGCUCAACCGUAAAAUUGCAGUUGAUACUGGAUAUCUUGAGUGCAGUUGAGGCAGGCGGAAUUCGUGGUGUAGCGGUGAAAUGCUUAGAUAUCACGAAGAACUCCGAUUGCGAAGGCAGCCUGCUAAGCUGCAACUGACAUUGAGGCUCGAAAGUGUGGGUAUCAAACAGGAUUAGAUACCCUGGUAGUCCACACGGUAAACGAUGAAUACUCGCUGUUUGCGAUAUACGGCAAGCGGCCAAGCGAAAGCGUUAAGUAUUCCACCUGGGGAGUACGCCGGCAACGGUGAAACUCAAAGGAAUUGACGGGGGCCCGCACAAGCGGAGGAACAUGUGGUUUAAUUCGAUGAUACGCGAGGAACCUUACCCGGGCUUAAAUUGCAGAUGAAUUACGGUGAAAGCCGUAAGCCGCAAGGCAUCUGUGAAGGUGCUGCAUGGUUGUCGUCAGCUCGUGCCGUGAGGUGUCGGCUUAAGUGCCAUAACGAGCGCAACCCUUGUUGUCAGUUACUAACAGGUUCUGCUGAGGACUCUGGCAAGACUGCCAUCGUAAGAUGUGAGGAAGGUGGGGAUGACGUCAAAUCAGCACGGCCCUUACGUCCGGGGCUACACACGUGUUACAAUGGGGGGUACAGAGGGCCGCUACCACGCGAGUGGAUGCCAAUCCCCAAAACCUCUCUCAGUUCGGACUGGAGUCUGCAACCCGACUCCACGAAGCUGGAUUCGCUAGUAAUCGCGCAUCAGCCACGGCGCGGUGAAUACGUUCCCGGGCCUUGUACACACCGCCCGUCAAGCCAUGGGAGCCGGGGGUACCUGAAGUGCGUAACCGCGAGGAGCGCCCUAGGGUAAAACUGGUGACUGGGGCUAAGUCGUAACAAGGUA
rnacentral:rRNA from 1 species